rnacentral:rRNA from 1 species
UUCCGGUUGAUCCUGCCGGACCUGACUGCUAUCGGAUUGAUACUAAGCCAUGCUAGUCUUUGUAGUAAUACAAGGCAUACGGCUCAGUAACGCGUAGUCAACCUACCCUAUGGACGGGGAUAAUCUCGGGAAACUGAGCAUAAUACCCGGUAGACCACUUAUCCUGGAAUGGUUAGUGGUUAAAAUGAUUCGUCGCCAUAGGAUGGGACUGCGGCCUAUCAGCUUGUUGGUGAGGUAAUGGCCCACCAAGGCGAUUACAGGUACGGGCUCUGAGAGGAGAAGCCCGGAGAUGGGUACUGAGACAAGGACCCAGGCCCUAUGGGGCGCAGCAGGCGAGAAAACUUUGCAAUGUGCGAAAGCACGACAAGGUUAAUCCGAGUGAUUUCUGCUAAAGGAAUCUUUUGUUAGUUCUAAAAAUACUAGUGAAUAAGGGGUGGGCAAGUUCUGGUGUCAGCCGCCGCGGUAAAACCAGCACCUCAAGUGGUCAGGAGGAUUAUUGGGCCUAAAGCAUCCGUAGCCUGUUCUAUAAGUUUGCGGUUAAAUCUAUACGCUCAACGUAUAGGCUGCCGUAAAUACUGUAGAACUAGGGAGUGGGAGAGGUAGACGGUACUCGAUAGGAAGGGGUAAAAUCCUUUGAUCUAUUGAUGACCACCUGUGGCGAAGGCGGUCUACCAGAACACGUUCGACGGUGAGGGAUGAAAGCUGGGGGAGCAAACCGGAUUAGAUACCCGGGUAGUCCCAGCUGUAAACGAUGCAGACUCGAUGAUGCAAUGGCAUAGAGCUAUUGCAGUAUCGCAGGGAAGCCGUUAAGUCUGCCGCCUGGGAAGUACGUACGCAAGUAUGAAACUUAAAGGAAUUGGCGGGGGAGCACCACAAGGGUGAAGCCUGCGGUUCAAUUGGAUUCAACGCCCGGG